GACGAACGCUGGCGGCGCGCCUAACACAUGCAAGUCGAGCGGGAAGCUUUUUAAGGAUUCUUCGGAUGAAUUAAAAGUGGAGAGCGGCGGACGGGUGAGUAACGCGUGAGAAACCUGCCCUAUACAGGGGGAUAGCCAUUGGAAACGAUGAUUAAUACCCCAUAUGACCACAGUAUCGCAUGAUACAGCGGUGAAAACUCCGGUGGUAUAGGAUGGUCUCGCGUCUGAUUAGCUAGUUGGUGGGGUAACGGCCUACCAAGGCGACGAUCAGUAGCCGGCCUGAGAGGGUGACCGGCCACACUGGAACUGAGACACGGUCCAGACUCCUACGGGAGGCAGCAGUGGGGAAUAUUGCACAAUGGGCGAAAGCCUGAUGCAGCGACGCCGCGUGGGGGAGGAAGGUUUUUGGAUCGUAAACCCCUUUAGGA
rnacentral:rRNA from 1 species